UUGUGACCUUGGAAUCAGGGUUCCCUCAAGAUUGAGAGACCCCUUUGGGAUUGGGGUCCCUCAGGAUUGGGGCUCUCAGAGCUGGGGGUCCCUGGGGAUGGGGCUCUCACCUUCAGGAAGGAAGAGGACGGGAAGGUGCCGAAGGUGGUGGAGAC